GCUCCUCCCGGAUUGGGGCCGGUGGGACAGGGGGUGGGGCGGCCCUCACGCGCGCAGGCUGGCCCGCGGCGCGUGACGUCAGCGCGUCGCCGCCGCCGGCUCCCGCUGCUCCGUGUCGCGCGGCUCCCUCCCUCCGCGGUGCAACAGCCACAAAACCCGCCGCCUCAGGCCCUGGCCGGACUCGGGAGUGGGGCGUCGCCGUCGCAGCCGCCGCUUCGGGAGCCGACUGGAAGUUCGUGGUGAUUACCAGCAUCCUCCACUGUGCCUACUGCUUAUGUCUGAUAGAACCACACCCUUGGAUCAACCCACUUCUGUCUCCAUAUUUCUGAAAUUCCUGAGAUCUGCUGGUGGAAAAACCACUCACCCGUCACCACUAUCUCCAGAACUCGUUUCAUCUUGCAAAAGUGAAACUCUGCCCGUUAAAAAAUUACUCCCCAUUUUCUCCUCCCUCAGCCUCUGGCAACCACCAUUCUACUUUCCAUGAUUUCGACUACCCGAGGUACCUCAUUCAUGUAAGUGGAAUCAUACAGUAUUUGUCUUUUUGUGACUGGCUUAUUCACUUAGUAUAAUGCCUUCAGGGUUCAUCUGUGUUAUAGCAUGUGUCAGAAUUUCCUUCCUUUUUAAGGCUAAAUGAUGUUCCAUUUAUGUAGAUACCACAUUUGCGUAUCCAUUUAUCCAUCAGUGGACACUUGGAUCGCAUCCAUAUUUUAGCUGCUGUUAAUACUGCUGUGAACAUAAGUGUACAAAUACACGUGUGUUUUACAUUUAGAAAAAAAUAAAGUUGUGGAAGCCAAAUUAUCUAUUUUGAAUGUGUGCUUUUCUUCCCAUCAUUUCUCAUUUUGUAUCAGAUCUUUUGGCUACUUUAACCAACUGAAACAUUUUCCCACCAGAAAGAAAAAUUACAGCUAGUAGUUGGUUUCCCCAUUUAAAACUCAAUGGUGUAGCGAAGUGGUUAACUGUGUUUUGUGGUUAAGUGAAUUCAAGUGCUCUGCCUACUUCCUAUUUCCUUCUUUCCCUCAUAGCUAAGAAGUUCUUGAACUUCUUUAACUUUUCAUGACAUAUAUAUUCUCCUCUCACAGUUUUUUGCCUGCUCCAUCUCCGAAACCAUUCCCAGGAGGGUCACCAUGUUCCCAAAGCUCUGGGUGUUCCUUCGUUGGACUGCCUAUGUUGUAUUGGAAUUGUCAGUCUGUUUCCCCCAGUGAACUAUACAGGAGACCAAAAAAGCAACUUACUUGGUUCACUAAAUAUCAAGUGCUGCCACGUGGCAGUCACCCUGCUGGGUACCCAGGGCUCAACUCAACAAGCCGACUGGGUACCAAAACAUUCUUCAUGGGAUCUCUCUUUUUUAAGGUGGGAGGAAGUGGUAUUUAGAGUUUACUGACAUGGUGGGAGUCAUAGCAUUUGAAUCAAAAGAACUGAUGCAGUCCAACCCCUUGAUAUUGAUACCUAAAUAUGGUCCUCAAGCUGUCUUUUGAACUGCAAGGGCUUUUUUUUUGCUCUCAUCCUGGUUGAUUUAGUCAUCUUGAGUCAGCUCUUUGGCACUUAUCUUCCGCUACUCAAAAGCUUCCAUUGGUUGCAGUAAGCGACAAUCAUACCACUGCACUCUGGUCUAGGCUACAGAAUGAGACCCUCUCUCUAAAAAAAACUUCAUCAGCCACAACCCCUCUGCAAGAUGCCUUUAUUGCACUCACACGAUGUUGCCUACCAUGUCCCAAAUGGGCCUCGUCCUUCCUUGCCUUCUGCCUGGAAGGUCUUCCUUCCCGUGCUCUGCCUCCGGACACGUGAUCCUUCAGCCUUUGCCUCAAAUGCCACUUCCUAGCCCAGCAUAAGCCCUCCCUCUUUUGAGCAGCCACAGUCCUCGGAUCAGUAUGGUAUUUGUGUUUCAGCCUUAGGGUUUUAGAAAUUUUUAUUUUAUUUUUUGGAGGCAGCCUCGCUCUGUUGCUCUGGCUAGAGUGCAGUGGCAUCAUCAUAGCUCAAUGCAGCCUCCAACUCCUGGGCUUGAGCGAUCCUCCUCCCUGCGAGGCAAGUAAGAGAAUAAAGAAUGAGAGAUGAGCCGGUGGCUCACGCCUGUAAUCCUAGCACUUUGGGAGGCCGAGGCGGGCG